AAUAGCCUAACGGCUGAACCAGCAAUUUCGGGGAAUGUAUAGUCUAAUCUAAUUGUCAUUUAAUUUAUUAAAUGCAAUAUCGACUACGUUGAAUAAAGUUCUAGGUAGAAUAAUGAUAAUGACAAUUUUCUAUCUAUAUGUCUUGACCAAAUCACGUGCCAGCAGUCGCGGUAAUACGUGGAAGACUAGUGUUAUUCAUCUUUAUUAGGUAUAUAGGGUACCUAGACGGUAUAUUUAGCCCAAAAAGGGUACGUGUAUACUAGAGUUUUAUAUGAGGGGGGGAGAACUUUUGGAGUAGAGAUGAAAUUCUGUGAUAACAAGAGGACUGGUAUAGGCGAAGGCAACCCUCUAUGUAAAAACUGACGUUGAGGGACGAAGGCUUGGGUAGCAAUUAGGAUUAGAUACCCUAGUAGUCCAGGCAGAAAAUUAUGAAUGUCAUAGACUUGGCCAUGGCCAAGUCUAUAAAUGAAAGUGUAAGCAUUCCACCUCAAGAGUAAUGUGGCAACACAGGAACUGAAAUCAUUAGACCGUUUCUGAAACCAGUAGUGAAGUAUGUUAUUUAAUUCGAUGAUCCGCGAAAAACCUUACCACAACUUGAAUACUUUACAAGCGCUGCACGGCUGUCUUCAGUUAAUGUCGUGAGAUUAUGGUUAGUUCCAUUAAUUAACGUAAACCCUUGCUUUAUUUAUUUUAAUAAAGUAGUUCUCCUACACCUUGGGUAAGAUAAAAGGGACUAAGACAAGUCAUCAUGGCCUUAAUAUUGUGGGCUAUAGACGUGCCACAUAAGCCUUUACAAAGGGAUGCAAUAUUGUGAAAUGGAGCUAAUCCCUAAAAUAGGAUAUAAAAU
rnacentral:rRNA from 1 species